rnacentral:rRNA from 1 species
CCUACGGGAGGCUGCAGUGGGGCAUAUUGCACAAUGGGGGAAACCCUGAUGCAGCGACGCCGCGUGAGCGAGGAAGUAUUUCGGUAUGUAAAGCUCUAUCAGCAGGGACGAAAAAAGACGGUACCUGACUAAGAAGCCCCGGCUAACUACGUGCCAGCAGCCGCGGUAAUACGUAGGGGGCAAGCGUUAUCCGGAUUUACUGGGUGUAAAGGGAGCGUAGACGGCAAGGCAAGCCAGAAGUGAAAGGGCUGGGCUCAACCCUGUAAAUGCUUUUGAAACUGUGGUGCUAGAGUGCAGGAGAGGUAAGUGGAAUUCCUAGUGUAGCGGUGAAAUGCGUAGAUAUUAGGAGGAACACCAGUGGCGAAGGCGGCUUACUGGACUGUAACUGACGUUGAGGCUCGAAAGCGUGGGGAGCAAACAGGAUUAGAUACCCGGGUAGUC